UAUAUAACAUAGCUUCUGAUUGGGUCGUUGGCAAAUAAACCAAUAGACAAGCGCGAUAAAAUACCAUCGCGGGCCUUUAGAAACUUUUGCACGUUGCUUUCAAAAUGUCUGGGCGAGAAGGAGGAAAGAAAAAGCCUUUAAAACAGCCGAAAAAGAAAGGCGGUGAUGAUUGUGAGGAAGAUAUUGCUUUCAAGCAAAAGCAGAAAGAGGAGAAAAAGGCAUUAGAAGAGGCAAAAUCCAAAGCUGCCAAGAAAGGACCAAUGGCGGCAGGUGGGAUCAAGAAGUCUGGGAAGAAAUAACAGAUUUUCAUUUAACAACUUACUACAGCAAUAAUAGGAGAAUAUUGAACUUCUACUAAGUUUACUACAAUUGUAGUAGGAAAAUAUUUUACUGUUAAUCAAACAUCAUGAUUGUUUGGGCAACAACAGGUUCCUACACAAUCAUGUAAAUAUAUUCCUUCCUAACAUUCUGCUUUUUCAUCAUUUGCUUACACAAUAAGUUUAUUUCAUUUCCUUACACAAUGAGUUUAUUCUGAGGAGAGCUUCAGUAUAUACUUUGUACAACCCUUGUUUUGCACAAUAAAUUAUUUUUUACCAUUG